AGUGAACGCUGGCGGUAGGCCUAACACAUGCAAGUCGAACGGCAGCACAGUAAGAGCUUGCUCUUACGGGUGGCGAGUGGCGGACGGGUGAGGAAUACAUCGGAAUCUACUUUUUCGUGGGGGAUAACGUAGGGAAACUUACGCUAAUACCGCAUACGACCUACGGGGGAAAGCAGGGGAUCUUCGGACCUUGCGCGAUUGAAUGAGCCGAUGUCGGAUUAGCUGGUUGGCGGGGUAAAGGCCCACCAAGGCGACGAUCCGUAGCUGGUCUGAGAGGAUGAUCAGCCACACUGGAACUGAGACACGGUCCAGACUCCUACGGGAGGCAGCAGUGGGGAAUAUUGGACAAUGGGCGCAAGCCUGAUCCAGCCAUACCGCGUGGGUGAAGAAGGCCUUCGGGUUGUAAAGCCCUUUUGUUGGGAAAGAAAAGCAGCAGGUUAAUACCCCGCUGUUCUGACGGUACCCAAAGAAUAAGCACCGGCUAACUUCGUG
rnacentral:rRNA from 1 species